CGACGCAGUCCACUAUUGGACCACUCACACACGCUCACUCAGGAAGUCAUCGAGUCAUCAGUAUGCUGAAGAUCUCCAUCUGUCUGGCCCUCCUGCUGUAUGGCAUCGUGCCGCAUCAUGCCGAUGGCCUACUAAUGGGAGUCGGAGUCGCAACCGACAGCCCCGAAAGAUGCUGUUUCAAAUUUUUUAAAGGCAGAAUUCCCAGCGCCAACAUUGUGAGCAUGAAGAAAAUUUACUCUGACUGUCCUCAUCAAGGAUUUAUUGUUAAGACCGUCAAAGGACGAUUAUUCUGCGUGGAUGAAGAAUAUUUCAAAUGAAGACAGCUCAAAACUGAAGUUUCCAUCAGACGGCGCCUCAGUGUCAUCGGGGUUAUAGCCAAAAGUCUUCUCAUCUGUUCGUCAGUGAAGUUUGUUUUAUACGCUUGAGAGCAUAGCGAAUCCUGUCUUUGCUUAUUCAUAAAUUGAAUUGACUUUGUAACAAUUUAUAACAAUAGGUGUGAAACGAAAAAAGAGAGUCAGCCUUAUGUGGAAAUGUAAACUGUGAUGGUAUAUUAAGACAUAAAUUCCAUAUUUCAUAUUUGUUUGGCAUUGCUCAUAUCAGCUCAGGACGGCACAAACGGCACGGCAAAUUAUGGGGAACUGACACUCUGUCAGUGUAUGUUGGGGGUGGGCGGGGGGUCUGCUUUAUGUGUUAGGCUUAUGCAGUGGCUCCAGUGUCUGCUGAACUGCUUCAUUAUGUGGAAAUGUAAACUGUGAAGGUAUAUUAAGACAUAAAUUCCAAAUUUCAUAUUUGUUUGGCAUUGCUCAUAUCAGCUCAGGACAGCACAAACCUCAGAAGGUGUAAGGCUAAGUACAGGGAACUGACACUCUGCCAGUGUAUGUUGGGUGUGGGGGGUAUAGGGAGCCCCAUCCUGCAGUCCCCGUUCUGUGCACUGUAGGCCAGGAGAAAUGCUCAAAUGAGUUCCAGUUAUUUCCUGUUGUGACUGAGUGAACCACUGCUUUGUGUGUUAGGCUUAUGCAGUGGCUCCAGUGUGUUGAACUGCUUCAUUAUGACAUGCACUGCUGUACAUCUAAGAAAUAAAAUGCAUUUACAUAAA